rnacentral:tRNA from 1 species
GCGAGCAUCGUAUAGUGGCUAUUACCUCAGCCUUCCAAGCUGAUGACGCGGGUUCGACUCCCGCUGCUCGCUCCA